rnacentral:rRNA from 1 species
GAUGAACGCUGGCGGCGUGCCUAAUACAUGCAAGUCGAGCGAACAGACGAUGAGCUUGCUCCUCUGACGUUAGCGGCGGACGGGUGAGUAACACGUGGAUAACCUACCUAUAAGACUGGGAUAACUUCGGGAAACCGGAUCUAAUACCGGAUAAUAUAUUGAACCGCAUGGUUCAAUAGUGAAAGACGGUUUUGCUGUCACUUAUAGCUGGAUCCGCGCCGCAUUAGCUAGUUGGUAAGAUAACGGCUUACCAAGGCAACGAUGCGUAGCCGACCUGAGAGGGUGAUCGGCCACACUGGAACUGAGACACGGUCCAGACUCCUACGGGAGGCAGCAGUAGGGAAUCUUCCGCAAUGGGCGAAAGCCUGACGGAGCAACGCCGCGUGAGUGAUGAAGGUCUUCGGAUCGUAAAACUCUGUUAUUAGGGAAGAACAAAUGUGUAAGUAAAUAUGCACGUAUUGACGGUACCUAAUCAGAAAGCCACGGCUAACUACGUG